GAUGAACGCUAGCUACAGGCUUAACACAUGCAAGGCGAGGGGAAACGACACCGAAAGCUUGCUUUUGAUGGGCGUCGACCGGCGCACGGGUGAGUAACGCGUAUCCAACCUGCCCACCACUUGGGGAUAACCUUGCGAAAGUAAGACUAAUACCCAAUGAUAUCUCUAGAAGACAUCUGAAAGGGAUUAAAGAUUUAUCGGUGAUGGAUGGGGAUGCGUCUGAUUAGCUUGUUGGCGGGGUAACGGCCCACCAAGGCGACGAUCAGUAGGGGUUCUGAGAGGAAGGUCCCCCACAUUAGAACUGAGACACGGUCCAAACUCCUACGGGAGGCAGCAGUGGGGAAUAUUGGUCAAUGGACGAGAGUCUGAACCAGCCAAGUAGCGUGCAGGAUGACGGCCCUAUGGGUUGUAAACUGCUUUUAUAAGGGAAUAAAGUGAGUCUCGUGAGGCUUUUUGCAUGUACCUUAUGAAUAAGGACCGGCUAAUUCCGUGCCAGCCGCCGCCGUAA
rnacentral:rRNA from 1 species